rnacentral:lncRNA from 1 species
CUGGGAGCCAGUGCCAGAUUGAGAGAGAGCAGGAGACAAAAGUAGUAUUUUCUUCGUUCUCCUGGGCUGGCAGCAGGGUUUUCCCCCAGCGCCACUUGCUCCUGGCAGCCCUAACCCUGGGUGCCAGAGCGGCCAAGGCCCAGCCCAGGACCUACGGACUGAUGGACGCCAGAACCCAGGAGGUCCAUGGGCCUGUCCGACAGAGGCUGGCACCUGGGCAUGGCCUGCUGGCUGGCAGGAGCCCCCUUACCUAGCCAGGGCAAGGGAGACAUCAUUUUCACUUGCUGGCUUUUGAGAAAGUGACCCUGUCCUCCUGUUCCUGGUUCAUACCUGUUGGUGGAGAUGUUAGAGAGGAGUGGAGAUAAAAACUUGAUGAAGUCCGACACAGCUGGCUGGGAGUGGUCUGUGUGUGCCUAUGUUGCAUACAUGCUGGACCCAGGGCAGGGCUUGCCUGUCAGAAACACUAUACGACUGAAGGUUUGGAUGAAGUGGGACAGAAGCGUCAUGACCCACCUCCUGACAGGACUUGGAGCUUUUUAAAGAGAGGGAUGCAACAUCAGCCUCAGACCCUGGAGGAAGCUCAUGUGAGUUCUUCUUCUUCUUUUUUUUUUUUUUUCUUUUCUUUUUUUUUUUUACUGAGAAACUCAUGAGUCGUCCGCUUUCUUAACCUUUUUGGUACCAGUAGGAAGACCUUGGAAGCCUGAGUUUUAAAGUGUGGUACUUGUCCACAUUAGUCUCAAUUUCCCCCUCUCUAGAAGGGAGGACAUCAGACACAUAAAUUAAGUGUCUGUGAUGUCAUGGGGGCAUUUGGCUAGAUGUGGGAUUGCUGAAUGGCAGCAGCUGUGGGUGGACCAUGGAAAAGAGUCAUUCGUGUUGAGCCCUGGGACUCUCUAGGCAUCUGAGCUUGGGUAAGGGAUGCAGGCUUGGAGCAGGGGUGCUCAAGAGGUGGCCUAGCC